UCAGGACGAACGCUGGCGGCGUGCCUAAUACAUGCAAGUCGAGCGGAGUUAUUCCUUCGGGGAUGACUUAGCGGCGGACGGGUGAGUAACACGUAGGCAACCUGCCUGGAAGACCGGGAUAACAUUCGGAAACGAAUGCUAAUACCGGAUACGCAGUUUCCCCGCAUGAGGGAACUGGGAAAGACGGCGCAAGCUGUCACUUGCAGAUGGGCCUGCGGUGCAUUAGCUAGUUGGUGGGGUAACGGCUCACCAAGGCGACGAUGCAUAGCCGACCUGAGAGGGUGAUCGGCCACACUGGGACUGAGACACGGCCCAGACUCCUACGGGAGGCAGCAGUAGGGAAUCUUCCGCAAUGGACGAAAGUCUGACGGAGCAACGCCGCGUGAGUGAUGAAGGUUUUCGGAUCGUAAAGCUCUGUUGCCAGGGAAGAACAGCCNGNNGAGUAACUGCGCUUGGAAUGACGGUACCUGAGAAGAAAGCCCCGGCUAACUACGUGCCAGCAGCCGCGGUAAUACGUAGGGGGCAAGCGUUGUCCGGAAUUAUUGGGCGUAAAGCGCGCGCAGGCGGCUUUGUAAGUUUGGUGUUUAAUCUCAGAGCUCAACUCUGAUUCGCAUCGAAAACUGCAAGGCUUGAGUACAGAAGAGGAAAGUGGAAUUCCACGUGUAGCGGUGAAAUGCGUAGAGAUGUGGAGGAACACCAGUGGCGAAGGCGACUUUCUGGGCUGUAACUGA
rnacentral:rRNA from 1 species